rnacentral:rRNA from 1 species
GUAGUCCACGCCGUAAACGAUGGAUACUAGGUGUAGGGGGUAUCGACUCCCCCUGUGCCGCAGCUAACGCAAUAAGUAUCCCACCUGGGGAGUACGGCCGCAAGGUUGAAACUCAAAGGAAUUGACGGGGGCCCGCACAAGCAGUGGAGUAUGUGGUUUAAUUCGAAGCAACGCGAAGAACCUUACCAGGACUUGACAUAUAAGUGACACCAUUAGAGAUAGUGGCUCCUUUCGGGGCACUUAUACAGGUGGUGCAUGGUUGUCGUCAGCUCGUGUCGUGAGAUGUUGGGUUAAGUCCCGCAACGAGCGCAACCCUUAUUGUUAGUUGCCAUCAUUCAGUUGGGCACUCUAGCGAGACUGCCGGUGAUAAAUCGGA